rnacentral:rRNA from 1 species
UACGUAGGGGGCAAGCGUUGUCCGGAUUUAUUGGGCGUAAAGGGCGUGUAGGCGGCUUGUUAAGUCUGGAGUGAAAAUCCGGGGCUCAACCCCGGAACUGCUUCGGAUACUGGCGAGCUUGAGUGCUCUAGAGGGCAGUGGAAUUCCCGGUGUAGCAGUGAAAUGCGUAGAGAUCGGGAGGAACACCAGUGGCGAAGGCGACUGCCUGGGGAGUAACUGACGCUGAGGCGCGAAAGCUGGGGGAGCAAACGGGA